rnacentral:tRNA from 1 species
GGUACCUUAGCUCAGUUGGUAGAGCAAUGGACUGAAAAUCCAUGUGUCCCUGGUUCGAACCCUGGAGGUACCACAA